GACGAACGCUGGCGGCGUGCUUAACACAUGCAAGUCGAACGGAAAGGCCCUGCUCUUGCGCGUUUCUCGUUUGCCGAAGGGGGGAGUAACACAUGUGGAUCCUCUCCUUGUCUGUCUGAUAACUUCAGGAAACUGCGGCGAAUACCGCAGAUGAUCUCUUGCUGCGUGGUGUUGGUUGGAGAGUGUCGGCGGUUGUGGAUGGACUCGCUGCUUAUCAGCUUGUUUGUGUGGUAGGUGCUUACCAAGCCUUUGACGGGUAGCCUGCCUGAGAGGGUGACCGGCGACAUUGGGCCUGCGAUACGGCGCAGAAUGCAACGGGAGGCAGCAGUGGGGAAUAUUGCAGAACGAGGGGAAGCGUGAUGCAGCAAUGUUGCGUGCGGGAUGACGGCUUUCGGGUUGAAAACAGAUUUCGAAUGUGACAAAGAGUGCGUGACGGUAAUGGGUAAAGAAGCAACGGCUAACUACGUG
rnacentral:rRNA from 1 species